UACGGAGGAUGCAAGCGUUAUCCGGAUUCAUUGGGUUUAAAGGGUGCGCAGGCGGACUGAUAAGUCAGUGGUGAAAUCCUACGGCUCAACCGUGGCACUGCCAUUGAUACUGUCAGUCUUGAGUAUAGUUGAAGUGGGCGGAAUGUAGCAUGUAGCGGUGAAAUGCAUAGAUAUGCUACAGAACACCAAUAGCGAAGGCAGCUCACUAAGUUAUAACUGACGCUCAUGCACGAAAGCGUGGGGAUCAAACAGG
rnacentral:rRNA from 1 species